UGAGGAAUAUUGGGUCAAUGGGCGAGAGCCUGAACCAGCCAAGUCGCGUGAGGGAAGACGGUCCUACGGAUUGUAAACCUCUUUUGUCGGGGAGUAAUAGGCGGGACGUGUCCUGCUGUGAGAGUACCCGAAGAAAAAGCAUCGGCUAACUCCGUGCCAGCAGCCGCGGUAAUACGGAGGAUGCGAGCGUUAUCCGGAUUUAUUGGGUUUAAAGGGUGCGCAGGCGGCGUGCCAAGUCAGCGGUCAAAGUUCCGGGCUCAACCCGGUGAUGCCGUUGAAACUGGUGUGCUUGAGUGCGUGCGAGGGAGGCGGAAUGCGUUGUGU
rnacentral:rRNA from 1 species